rnacentral:lncRNA from 1 species
CGAUGAGCUCUGCUUGCUCAUUAAGAGGACCCGCAGCUGAACUGGAGGAUGAUAUGCUUUCACGAGGACUAAUUCAGCUGACGUUUCAUAGCGAUUUUGGUUAAGGGAUCCUCUACGUCGGGCUGGCGACUUUAAAACUAGCGCUUGGUGGGAGGCAACCCACCGUUGGUUUAGUUUUUGUUUUUGUUUGUCUUUUGUUUUUUUUUUUUUCCAUUUUUGUUUCGUUCCUAAUGUUUGGUUGCUUGUGCGGAUACUUUGAUUUUUGGGUGUUAAUUACUUUGUUUUCAGCACUGCAAUUUCUGCUCUGACCUUGCUGCCAGCGCUGCCCAGAUCCAGCGCUGAAGAAUGCCAACACUUCCCAGUCCAGCGCUGCCCAGAUCCAGCGCUGCCGUUUCUACUCUGUAGAAAGCCGCAAACCUCACUUUUCGCCGCCUCUCACGAUGCUGCAGCUUUUCAAUGCCGAUAAUCAGGGAUGUUUUCUAACUCUUUUUCUUUUGUGCCCUGAGGACAUGGCAUGCUUUAAGUGUGGGGGGGUAUAUUGUUAGAC